UACGUAGGGGCCGAGCGUUGUCCGGAGUUACUGGGCGUAAAGGGCUCGUAGGCGGCCAACUAAGUCAGACGUGAAAUCCCUCGGCUUAAACCGGGGAACUGCGUCUGAUACUGGAUGGCUUGAGUUCGGGAGAGGGAUGCGGAAUUCCAGGUGUAGCGGUGAAAUGCGUAGAUAUCUGGAGGAACACCGGUGGCGAAGGCGGCAUCCUGGACCGGUAGUGACACUGAGGCGCGAAAGCGUAGGGA
rnacentral:rRNA from 1 species